rnacentral:rRNA from 1 species
UGGGGAAUAUUGCACAAUGAGCGCAAGCCUGAUGCAGCCAUGCCGCGUGUGUGAAGAAGGCCUUCGGGUUGUAAAGCACUUUCAGCGAGGAGGAAGGUGGUGAGCUUAAUACGCUCAUCAAUUGACGUUACUCGCAGAAGAAGCACCGGCUAACUCCGUGCCAGCAGCCGCGGUAAUACGGAGGGUGCAAGCGUUAAUCGGAAUUACUGGGCGUAAAGCGCACGCCGGCGGUUUGUUAAGUCAGAUGUGAAAUCCCCGGGCUCAACCUGGGAACUGCAUUUGAAACUGGCAAGCUAGAGUCUCGUAGAGGGGGGUAGAAUUCCAGGUGUAGCGGUGAAAUGCGUAGAGAUCUGGAGGAAUACCGGUGGCGAAGGCGGCCCCCUGGACGAAGACUGACGCUCAGGUGCGAAAGCGUGGGGCAGCAAACAGGAUUAGAUACCCUGGUAGUCAGCGCUGUAAACGAUGUCGAUUUUGGAGGUUGUGCCCUUGAGGCGUGGCUUCCGGAGCUAACGCGUUAAAGUCGACCGCCU